GACGAACGCUGGCGGCGUGCUUAACACAUGCAAGUCGAACGGAAAGGCCCGGCUUUUGUGGGUUGCUCGAGUGGCGAACGGGUGAGUAACACGUGAGUAACCUGCACUUGUCUUUGUGAUAACUUCAGGAAACUGGGUCUAUUACCGGAUAGGAGCUCCUGCUGCAUGUUGUUGGUUGGAAAGUUUCGGCGGUUGGGGAUGGAUUCGCGGCUUAUCAGCUUGUUUGUGUGGUAGUGGCUUACCAAGGCUUUGACGGGUAGCCGGCAUGAGAGGGUUACCGGCCACAUUGGGACUGAGAUACGGAGCAGACGGCUACGGGAGGCAGCAGUGGGGAGCAUUGCACAAUGGGCGGAAGCCUGAUGCAGAAACGCCGCGUGCGGGAUGACGGCUUUCGGGUGGUAAACAGCUUUCGCAUGUGAUGAAGAGUGAGUGACGGUAAUGGGUAAAGAAGCACCGGCUAACUACGUG
rnacentral:rRNA from 1 species